AAUUUAAUAUAAAUAGAUGAUACUUUAUGAAGUAGAAAUAAAAGUUUCUCGAUUUCUUCACUUUAAAAUAAUGAGGAGCAGCAUAUUUUCUGAAAUAAAAGGGAGGAAAAUUGCAAUAUAGUAAAGAAAAUUCAAGUUUCAUAAAAAUUGAAAUGGCACACAGACACAUUAUUGCAGUGUCAUUUAUCAACUGCAUUACAGAUUAUUAUAUGUAACAAUAUGUCAUGUUAUAUAAAUUAAAACAAUACUGAUACAUCAUUUUCAUUUCCUUUCUCAUACUCUGAUGAUAUGAAAUAAUAAAAUUUUCAAAAAUUAUUUGAUUCAUAAUUCAUUUUUCUAUCUAAAGGCCUGAUCCUCCCACUAUGGAUAAUAAACCCAAUUAAUUUACUAAAUGUAGUGGGUUGUUCGUCUGUUAGCCUAAAAGUCAGCUUAAUUUAAUAAAAUCAUUUCACAGACAUGAAGAGUUACAGACUAAUGUUUUUUUUUUUUUUCUUCUGUGCAUUAUAAUGAAGGCUUUAUAAAACUGCACAGCAUUUUUAGCUUUUUAAUCAACAUACUCUGUCCUACACCAACUACACUCAAAUUUCCUAUCAUGUAUGUCUAUGAAAGACGAUCAAACCAAUCAGAGUAGGUAUGGGGCGGGGCUGCACGUGCAACCCCGCCCCAGGUGCAGCCCCGCCUCGAUCUGCAGGCUGCAGCCGAGUGCUUCUCCGCAUGCGCGCUAAACACCGGAACACAAGAGCACCCUAACGGAAGCUAGAAUCCUUCUUGGCGCCGGGAAAAAGGUGGAUGGUUCGUUACCUCGUGGCUGAGCAAAAGGAACGUAGGCUACCCCUCUAGAGAAGCUUACCAAACUAUGACAACUUCUGCCUCGGAAAGAGUCCACACGGUUUCAUUUACCUCAGCACUGUGAUGUCUACUGACAAGAUGGAUAAAAUAUUCAUAUUACUUCAGAAGUUCAGACUGGAUAAAUACUACAAAAAAUUCAUUGAUCUUGGGAUUAAAGAAGAACUGGAUUUUUUUGACAGCGUCAAUGAUGUGACCUUAAAAACCAUGGAUUUUUCACAAGCAGAGAGGAACCGGUAUGACAAUAUGGUUGCUUAUCUGCGAAGAAUUGGCAAUGCACCAGUUCCAGAGAUGCAAGGAAUGCAUGUAAUGAAGUCUCUUAAUUCAUUUCGUAUAUCCUACCGAUUUCCAAAAUGUGCUGGGAUACAAGAAAUCACAGGUAUAGAUCCCUCACAAAAUACAGUGGAGGACCUGAUGCUGCGAAUCUGCCAUGAAAACAAGGUUGACCGAAACUUGUCUGUAUGCCUUUACACUGCUGAUGGUAUGCCUUUGACCGAUGACCCCUUUUUCAACACAUGGUCUUUGAAUGACAGACAUAUUGCAAGUGGGAGUGAACUGUAUGCCAUAUUUACACCAAGGGAAAAUUUAACAGAGUUACCACCAACGCAAAGACAGGCCAACAUCAGAAUUGAAGGACCGAGUGUCAUCCGCUGUCACAUAGCGUUACAGGGAGACUUUGAAAUCAAAGUCAACCUUGAAAGUGAUACACUGAGAGAUGUGACACUACGGCUUUCUCUCGAAAGUAGUAUACCAGCACCAGUUCUUCACAUCAGAGGUGAUGAGUAUAAUCAUGUUGACAAACUAAGUGAGCUUGGAGUCACAGAGGAUUCAGUUCUACAGUUCUCUCUGUCAUCAUUUGAUAAUGAGAAACCAAGUCCAAGUCUUUUGUUCCAAAAAGAUGUCAGACCCUCAGUGAAGCAAACAGAGAAAGGCCUAAGUGUUUUUCUGUCAACGCUCUAUGCCAUUAAACGAAAACACUGUGGAGAUGAAUUUAAGAAAGUGGUUGCAUAUAUUAGGAGACUGAGUGGAUGCAAUGCUUUGGCUCAAAGUUUAUUCCAAAUGAUCUGUGGGAACUUGCAUGUAACUAGAAACCAAAAGAUUGCUGUUGUUGAGGGUCUUUACUUUCUUUUCCGAGAGUUGUUACCAGAUCGUAAUGAAACAUCAGGUCCAAAGGUCAUUGAAGAUGGUGAUGUUUUUGAAUAUGCAAAUAUUUGCUGGGCUUACCUGAUUGCUCAAGGACAGGUAUGUUUGCAGUGUUAUUUUUUUUUAAUGUUUUUGAAUAUGCAAAAUUAUUUUUCAUUCUAAUAGCAUGGAGUACAAGUACUGCAGCCUGUUUCCCCAAUAACCAGACUGUAAUGUGCAUCUUAAAUGACCACAUGUACUUUAUACAUUUCACAAUUUUGUGAAGAAAAGUUAUUUACCAGACUUGACAUCUUUUAAAGAAAAAGUAAAUACAAUUCAUAUUUAAUAAUACUGUAUAAAAUAUAUAUAUAUAUAUAUAUAUAUAUAUAUAUAUAUAUAUACAAAUAAAUAAAAAUAUAAAUAAAAUAUACUGUCUUGG
ensembl:lncRNA